GGAUGAACGCUGGCGGCGUGCUUAACACAUGCAAGUCGAACGAUGAAGCCCUGCUUGCAGGGUGGAUUAGUGGCGAACGGGUGAGUAACACGUGAGUAACCUGCCCCUGACUCUGGGAUAAGCCCGGGAAACUGGGUCUAAUACCGGAUAUGACUUCCUACUGCAUGGUGGGUUGUUGAAAGAUUUAUCGGUGGGGGAUGGACUCGCGGCCUAUCAGCUUGUUGGUGAGGUAAUGGCUCACCAAGGCGACGACGGGUAGCCGGCCUGAGAGGGUGACCGGCCACACUGGGACUGAGACACGGCCCAGACUCCUACGGGAGGCAGCAGUGGGGAAUAUUGCACAAUGGGCGGAAGCCUGAUGCAGCGACGCCGCGUGAGGGAUGACGGCCUUCGGGUUGUAAACCUCUUUCAGUAGGGAAGAAGCGAAAGUGACGGUACCUGCAGAAGAAGCGCCGGCUAACUAC
rnacentral:rRNA from 1 species